UACAGAGGUCCCAAGCGUUGUUCGGAUUCACUGGGCGUAAAGGGUGCGUAGGUGGUGAGGUAAGUCGGAUGUGAAAGCUCGGAGCUCAACUCCGAAAUGGCAUUGGAAACUACCUUGCUCGAGGGUUGGAGGGGGGACUGGAAUACUUGGUGUAGCAGUGAAAUGCGUAGAUAUCAAGUGGAACACCAGUGGCGAAGGCGAGUCCCUGGACAAAGCUCCUGACACUGAGGCACGAAAGCUAGGGGGAGCAAACAG
rnacentral:rRNA from 1 species